rnacentral:sRNA from 1 species
CAAUGCCGGGAUCGCCCCCUGUCAGCGUGUUACGCCCACAGGGGCCAUCGUG